AUGUUAUAGUGAAAGGCCGAGGGAAUAGACCCUUUGAAGCCUUAGCAACCCUUUAUUCGUAAAGAAGGUGCUAAAUUCUACUGUUUAUACUGGAUUUAUUCAGUACCUGUAAUAAGGAACAGAAAGAUAACAC
rnacentral:ncRNA from 2 species